rnacentral:rRNA from 1 species
GACGAACGCUGGCGGCGUGCUUAACACAUGCAAGUCGAACGGAAAGGCCCUGCUUUUGUGGGGUGCUCGAGUGGCGAACGGGUGAGUAACACGUGAGUAACCUGCCCUUGACUUUGGGAUAACUUCAGGAAACUGGGGCUAAUACCGGAUAGGAGCUCCUGCUGCAUGGUGGGGGUUGGAAAGUUUCGGCGGUUGGGGAUGGACUCGCGGCUUAUCAGCUUGUUGGUGGGGUAGUGGCUUACCAAGGCUUUGACGGGUAGCCGGCAUGAGAGGGUGACCGGCCACAUUGGGACUAAGAUACGGACCAGACUCCUACGGGAGGCAGCAGUGGGGAGUAUUGCACAAUGGGCGGAAGCCUGAUGCAGCAACGCCGCGUGCGGGAUGACGGCCUUCGGGUUGUAAACCGCUUUCGGCUGUGACGAAGCGUGAGUGACGGUAAUGGGUAAAGAAGCACCGGCUAACUACGUG